rnacentral:rRNA from 1 species
GAGAAGCUCGCGGCCUAUCAGCUUGUUGGUGAGGUAAAAGCUCACCAAGGCGAAGACGGGUAGCUAGUCUGAGAGGAUGUUUAGCCACACUGGGACUGAGACACUGCCCAGACUCCUACGGGAGGCUGCAGUCGAGAAUCUUUAGCAAUGGGGGAAACCCUGACUAUGCGACGCCGCGUGAGGGAUGAAGGUCUUCGGAUUGUAAACCUCUUUCGACCGGAAAGAAUAUCCUGACGGGUAAUAUCCGUCAGGACUGACGGUACCGGGAGAAGAAGCCACGGCCAACUCCGUGCCAGCAGCCGCGGUAAUACGGAGGUGGCGAGCGUUACUCGGAUUUAUUGGGUGUAAAGGGCAGGUAGGCGGCCCGACAAGUGGGGAGUGAAAUCCUGCGGCUUAAUCGCAGAACAGCUUUCCAAACUAUCGGGCUUGAGUGUGGGAGAGGAGAAUGGAACUCCUGGUGUAAGGGUGAAAUCUGUAGAGAUCAGGAGGAACACCAUUGGCGAAGGCGAUUCUCUGGACCACAACUGACGCUGAGCUGCGAAAGCUAGGGGAGAGAACAGGAUUAGAUACCCUGGUAUUCCUAGCCGUAAA